AUGAACGCUGGCGGCGUGCUUAACCCCUGCAAGUCGAACGAUGAAGCCCAGCUUGCUGGGUGGAUUAGUGGCGAACGGGUGAGUAACACGUGAGUAACCUGCCCUUAACUCUGGGAUAAGCCUGGGAAACUGGGUCUAAUACCGGAUAGGAGCGUCCACCGCAUGGUGGGUGUUGGAAAGAUUUAUCGGUUUUGGAUGGACUCGCGGCCUAUCAGCUUGUUGGUGAGGUAAUGGCUCACCAAGGCGACGACGGGUAGCCGGCCUGAGAGGGUGACCGGCCACACUGGGACUGAGGCACGGCCCAGACUCCUACGGGGGGCAGCAGUGGGGGAUAUUGCACAAUGGGCGGAAGCCUGAUGCAGCGACGCCGCGUGGGGGAUGACGACCUUCGGGUUGUAAACCUCUUUCAGUAGGGAAGAAGCGAAAGUGACGGUACCUGCAGAAGAAGCACCGGCUAACUACGUG
rnacentral:rRNA from 1 species